AAAUUGAAGAGUUUGAUCAUGGCUCAGAUUGAACGCUGGCGGCAGGCCUAACACAUGCAAGUCGAACGGUAACAGGAAGCAGCUUGCUGCUUCGCUGACGAGUGGCGGACGGGUGAGUAAUGUCUGGGAAACUGCCUGAUGGAGGGGGAUAACUACUGGAAACGGUGGCUAAUACCGCAUAACGUCGCAAGACCAAAGAGGGGGACCUUCGGGCCUCUUGCCAUCAGAUGUGCCCAGAUGGGAUUAGCUUGUUGGUGAGGUAACGGCUCACCAAGGCGACGAUCCCUAGCUGGUCUGAGAGGAUGACCAGCCACACUGGAACUGAGACACGGUCCAGACUCCUACGGGAGGCAGCAGUGGGGAAUAUUGCACAAUGGGCGCAAGCCUGAUGCAGCCAUGCCGCGUGUAUGAAGAAGGCCUUCGGGUUGUAAAGUACUUUCAGCGGGGAGGAAGGUGUUGCGGUUAAUAACCGCAGCAAUUGACGUUACCCGCAGAAGAAGCACCGGCUAACUCCGUGCCAGCAGCCGCGGUAAUACGGAGGGUGCAAGCGUUAAUCGGAAUUACUGGGCGUAAAGCGCACGCAGGCGGUCUGUCAAGUCG
rnacentral:rRNA from 2 species